GCCUGGGUGGCUCAGUCGGUUGAGCAUCCAACUGUUGAUCUUGGCUCAGGUCACGAUCUCACAGCUUGUGGGUUUGAGCCCCACAUCAGGCU
rnacentral:tRNA from 1 species